rnacentral:rRNA from 1 species
CCUACGGGUGGCAGCAGUGAGGAAUAUUGGUCAAUGGUCGAGAGUCUGAACCAGCCAAGCAGCGUGAAGGAUGACGGCCCUAUGGGUUGUAAACUCUUUUUAUAUGGGAAUAAAACAUGGUAUGCAUACCCUCUUGUAUGUACCAUAUGAAUAAGGAUAGGCUCACCCCGUGCCAGCAGCCGCGGUAAUACGGUGGAUCCGAGCGUUAUCCGGAUGUAUUGGGUUUAAAGGGAGCGUAGGUGGAGUGUUAAGUCAGUUGUGAAAGUUUGCGGCUCAACCGUGGAAUUGCAGUUGAAACUGGGAGGCUUGAGUACAGUAGAGGUGGGCGGAAUUCGAGGUGUAGCGGUGAAAUGCUUAGAUA